GAUGAACGCUGACAGAAUGCUUAACACAUGCCAGUCCACUUGAACUUCGGUUUGGGUGGCGGACGGGUGAGUAACGCGUAAAGAACUUGCCUCACAGAUAGGGACAACAUUUGGAAACGAAUGCUAAUACCUGAUAUUAUGAUUUUAGGGCAUCCUAGGAUUAUGAAAGCUAUAUGCGCUGUGAGAGAGCUUUGCGUCCCAUUAGCUAGUUGGAGAGGUAACGGCUCACCAAGGCGAUGAUGGGUAGCCGGCCUGAGAGGGUGAUCGGCCACAAGGGGACUGAGACACGGCCCUUACUCCUACGGGAGGCAGCAGUGGGGAAUAUUGGACAAUGGACCAAGAGUCUGAUCCAGCAAUUCUGUGUGCACGAUGAAGUUUUUCGGAAUGUAAAGUGCUUUCAGUUGGGAAGAAAAAAAUGACGGUACCAACAGAAGAAGUGACGGCUAAAUACGUG
rnacentral:rRNA from 1 species